rnacentral:tRNA from 1 species
GCCUGGCUAGCUCAGUUGGUAGAGCAUGGGACUCUUAAUCCCAGGGUUGUGGGUUCAUGCCCCACGUAGGGUG